rnacentral:tRNA from 1 species
GUUUUUAUAGUUGAAUUACAACGGUGAUUUUUCAGAUCAAAGGUUCUGGUGUUGUUAGACCAGAUAAGAAUU